rnacentral:sRNA from 1 species
AAAAUAUUUCAUUUCGUCACCAGAAUGUUAACGUCACAGUACAUACAGGCAUGGACGUGGUUGUUGUUAAACAAGGUGUCAAUCAUGUCCUACAUCUCAUUAUUACGCUCUUCUUCUUUCCCUGGAUAUUUGUAUGGAUUGCAUUUUGCAUCAUAUAUGGCGAAGAGUCUUCCUAUUAACUUCGCAUAUACUUGUACUUGACUGAAGGGAUCAAUCAUCAGUCAUCACCUAUAAGACACCAAUCAUCAGUCAUCAACUACAAGACACCAAUCAUCAGUCAUCAACUACGAGACACCAAUCAUUAGUCAUCAACUACAAGACACCUAUCAUUAGUCAUCAAACCUAAGACACCAAUCAUCAGUCAUCAAACACAAGACAUGCAUUCCAAGGAGCUAUGUUUGUAUCAGCAGUUCACAAUGAGAACAUGUUCUAGCUACUGUAUCAUCCUUCUCAUCCUUCAACAUUUGAAGAGACAGUACAAGACACAACUAUUCAGGACAAGUGUAGAAAGAUAAUAAACUAAUAUUCCUCAAUUGUAUCUAGAGACACAGUAUUCUCAGCGUCCUAAGUAUUCUGGUAGACUCUUACAACAGUGAAGUACAAUGCGAAACAAAAUAUGGUAGAGCUGCUCAUUUUUAUUAUACUUUGCAAUUAUUAUAGCUACUUUUUGAGCAAUAAUGUAUUAUUUAUCUCUAUUUCAACAUUUAUCAAUGAUAGAUCACUACUUUCGCCAUCAGUUGAGUAACUCUAUUUCUAUCUCAGCAAUUAACACUAUAUGUGAACAAAACUAUAGCUUUGUAACAUGUCUCUACACACUAACAUUGGCAAACCUGAUAUAUAUACCACCACUACUCCUUCAUUUAUAAUUAUAAUUUGCAAAUUCAAAAUGUUAUAGCUUUCUGUGAUUUCAAGUUGUUCAGUUUACUGUGAUAUUAAUGCUAUCUUUCAUUAAACGAAAUUCCGUCCAAAAA